rnacentral:tRNA from 2 species
GCCGGUGUGAUGGAAUUGGCAGACGUGCGGGACUCAAAAUCCCGUGGUAGUGAUACCGUGCCGGUUCGACCCCGGCCACCGGCACCA